GCUGCAGAGGAAGGAGACACGGGCAGAGUGAAGCAGCUGUUAGCGGAGGGAGUCAACCCUAAUGCUACUGGCCGUUGGCAACGGACUGCCCUGUACCUAGCAGCCCGGAAUGGCCACCAUGAAACUGUGUCAGCCUUACUGACAGCUGGUGCAGAUGUUAACACAAGAGACAAGAAACAAAUAACUCCUCUGCACCGGGCAGCCGUAGCCGAGAAUGGCUACCAUGAAACUGUGUCAGUUUUACUGAAAGCUGGUGCAGAUGCGAUGACACGGGAC